rnacentral:rRNA from 1 species
AACGAACGCUGGCGGCAUGCCUAACACAUGCAAGUCGAACGAGACCUUCGGGUCUAGUGGCGCACGGGUGCGUAACGCGUGGGAAUCUGCCCUUGGGUUCGGAAUAACAGUUGGAAACGACUGCUAAUACCGGAUGAUGACGUAAGUCCAAAGAUUUAUCGCCCAAGGAUGAGCCCGCGUAGGAUUAGCUAGUUGGUGAGGUAAAGGCUCACCAAGGCGACGAUCCUUAGCUGGUCUGAGAGGAUGAUCAGCCACACUGGGACUGAGACACGGCCCAGACUCCUACGGGAGGCAGCAGUGGGGAAUAUUGGACAAUGGGCGAAAGCCUGAUCCAGCAAUGCCGCGUGAGUGAUGAAGGCCUUAGGGUUGUAAAGCUCUUUUACCCGGGAUGAUAAUGACAGUACCGGGAGAAAAAGCUCCGGCUAACUCCGUG